AGGACGAACGCUUGCGGCGUGCCUAAGAAAUGCAAGUCGAGCGGGGGAGCAAUCCCUAGCGGCGAACGGUCGCGUAACACGUAAGCAACCUGCCCGAAAGACCGGGACAACAGCUCGAAAGGGCUGCUAAUACCGGAUGUGUCCACUUUGCCUCAUGGCUUAGUGAGUAAAUCAUUUAUGGCUUUCGGAGGGGCUUGCGGCCUAUCAGCUAGAUGGCGAGGUAACGGCUCACCAUGGCGACGACGGGUAGCUGGU
rnacentral:rRNA from 1 species